CCUAAGAGAGAAGCAGGAAGCCUGCUGCCGGUGGUCUGUUUCUUUGACAAAGUCGGAAGCCUCUAGAGAGCUCGCCAUGGCUUGGACUCUCUGCUCCCUUGCACUUCUCAGCUACUUUUCAGGUAAGAGUGUGGAGGACUCCCUUUCCCUCAGAUUCUGGCUCAACAACAAAUCAAUACUGUGCAUUAAUCAUAGGACCCGUUAGAGAUUUGGAAGCACAAACAAGGUUAAUUGUUUUCCUUUCAUUUUUCCAUCUUCCAAAGGUGUCAUUUCACAGUCUACAUUGACUCAACCUGUGUCUGAGUCUGUAUCCCCAGGAAACAUGGCUAAACUCCCUUGCACCGCCAGCAGUAGUCGUAGCACUAUUGAGUGGUAUCAACAGAGACCUGCUCAGGCCCCUCGCUAUGUGCAUUAUAAUGGUGGCAGCAGGGGAGAAGGCAUCCCUGAUCGAUUCACUGCUUCCGUCUCUGGGAAUAUGGGCUAUUUAACCAUCACCAACGUCCAGGCUGAAGAUGAGGCUGAUUACUACUGUGGGGAUUGGUUUAGCAAUGAGUUA
rnacentral:lncRNA from 1 species